GAUCAUGGCUCAGGAUGAACGCUGGCGGCGUGCCUAAUACAUGCAAGUCGAGCGAACAGAUAAGGAGCUUGCUCCUUUGACGUUAGCGGCGGACGGGUGAGUAACACGUGGGUAACCUACCUAUAAGACUGGAAUAACUCCGGGAAACCGGGGCUAAUGUCGGAUAACAUUUAGAACCGCAUGGUUCUAAAGUGAAAGAUGGUUUUGCUAUCACUUAUAGAUGGACCCGCGCCGUAUUAGCUAGUUGGUAAGGUAACGG
rnacentral:rRNA from 1 species